GUGACCCUCGACCGCUGAGCUCUUGUCUUUGUCAUCUUGGAUCCCAUGGGGGUUACAAUCCCUGGUGCUGUCAAUGAAGCACUAACUUGUCACUGCCCCCCCUUCCUGGCACGCCAAUCUGUUGCGACCAAUCUCCUCGUUGCCUGGUCGCCGGUAACGAGCGCCUGCAAAAGAAAGUCUGCACUGACCGGAGGUGGCUCCGGCGGGGACCCUCCGACGGUCAAGUCAGAGAGGAGACUAGGCAACAGUGAAAAGAAAACAAGGAGCUCAACGAGAG
rnacentral:lncRNA from 1 species